GCAGUGGUGGUUCAGUGGUAGAAUUCUUCCCUUUCAUGCAGGAGACCUGGGUUUGAUACCCAGCCAGUGAA
rnacentral:tRNA from 1 species